ACAUCAACAACAAUCCACAAUGGACAUAUGCUCACACUCUAAGCCAUAAACAGUCCAUCCACAAUUGCAUACAUAAUAGAUAUAUUCACAGCAUUAUGCAUACCAUCAUACAUCAUCAGCAUAUUUAUCACAUAAUCAUAUCAUGUCAUGCCAAAUAAUAAAUCACAGUAUUAACACACUAUACUAAUACUUAUACUGCUCAAAACAACGGGAAAUGAUC
rnacentral:lncRNA from 1 species